ACAGCCGCUCUCAGCUCCGCCAACAUGAGGCCGCUGGCGGCUCUGACGCUGCUUGCCGCGCUGGUGGCCCUGGCAGGGACCACCUUUGUGUCGCGGCCUCGAUGCCCGCUGACCAAAAGUUGCCAGCCGGCUAGUGUCAAAAGCCUCUGCCGGCGCAACUUGGACUGCAGGAACGGAGCCAGCUGCUGCCAGCUUGGCUGUCUGCGCCGCUGCUGGUCCCCGACACCCAUCAGACCCCGGCCCCGUCCGCGUCCGGACACCCGUCGCCGUCGUAACUCCAGCGGCAACCGUCGCCGCCGUAACUCCAGCGGCCCCCGUCGCCGCCGUCGUAACACUAGCGGCAACCGUCGUCGCCGUAACUCCAGCGGCCGCCCUCGCCGUCAGCGUCGCUCUCCGCAGCUGAGGUGCCGUCCCCGCUGCCGUCGGGGCGAGGUGUGUCGUCUUCGCCGCGUCUGCGGCAAACUGGGCUGCACCCGAGUGCCUAGGUGCCUUAGACCGGUCGUCCGACCGCGCCCACAGCGUCCCCGCUGCCCUAAGGGAUGCCGCGGGUGCGGCCUGGUUAAGGGGGUGCUUAAGUGCCUCAAAUGGUGAGCGGCAGGGUCUAUGAACGCUCCUGAAUCCGACCACAGGCUGCCCCGAGAACGACACUGAUCUGUGAUGUCAAACGACAUAUGUUGACCAGUAAUCUCAACUUGACCUCGUGACCCCAUGUCGACCCAACCUUAGCCCUGCCUGAUAGUCAGUGGGGAUUUGACACAGAAGGAUAACAAGUCUUAUUAUGAACAUUUAAAUUUUGACAUUAUGAAUCACUAAAAAACACUAAAAAGCGUGUUAUGAAAAUAAUCGAUCAAGGCACUGCUUGGAGUAUUUCGAUAUUUUCUGCUGAAUAAAAGUAAUGGAAAUUUA
rnacentral:lncRNA from 1 species